rnacentral:tRNA from 1 species
GCGAGUGUGGUGGAAUUGGUAUACACAGCAGACUUAAAAUCUGCUGAGUGUCAACCCCGCUUUCAAAUUUCCCCUCGCC